GGGGAAAAAAAGAGAGGAGCCCCACUGGAGUGAGCGUCUUUUGUCUGUCUUACGAGUCGCACAGGACCACCACCCCCCCCCGAGAAGGGAAUCCGAUGUCGGGGCCAAUAUACUGCUGAUAAUGGUGGCCUUGAAGAAUCAACACAGACGUUUGAAGAAAGAUGAUCGGAGGAAUCUGUCCUCUCGAAGCAUCUUGUGCCGGUUCUCUUUUGGAUGAUGCUCGCCUUCGUUCUCUUCUGUUUCGGUUUACGCUUUGAUUACUGGUUUGGGAUCUGAUCGAUCACGUCGGGCGAUCAUUUCAGAGAUCUAGAAUCUCUUCUGACAAAAAUAAAUGCCGCAAAUGAUGCGAAAAAUCCUCAGAAAGACGCCCUUACCUGCUCGUUGAGUGAUCCGACCAGCGAGCGGUUGUCCUUCUUCUUGUGCUUGUUCUUCUCCUUCUCCUUCCCCUUCUCCUAUCAGCCGUCGUCGGCGGUGACGAUCCUCCGGACAGACGGC
rnacentral:lncRNA from 1 species